rnacentral:rRNA from 1 species
UACGUAGGGGGCAAGCGUUAUCCGGAAUUACUGGGUGUAAAGGGUGCGUAGGUGGUAUGGCAAGUCAGAAGUGAAAACCCAGGGCUUAACUCUGGGACUGCUUUUGAAACUGUCAGACUGGAGUGCAGGAGAGGUAAGCGGAAUUCCUAGUGUAGCGGUGAAAUGCGUAGAUAUUAGGAGGAACAUUAGUGGCGAAGGCGGCUUACUGGACUGAAACUGACACUGAGGCACGAAAGCGUGGGGAGCAAACAGG